UUGACUUUUGCAACGGUUUUACUUUCCCCCCAUAAUUUCCCUCUUCUAAUUUCACUAAACCCAAUUUUACUAGCACCUAGACAUUUUUUUACUUCCUAAAACUUGUUCUCUUAACCUUAGAACAUAUCAAAAUGUCCAUAUACCUUCUCGUAGCUUCGUCCCCUUGAAACCCUAACCCCUCCAGCGAGUCACUCCUGCAAGGCACUCUGUCAAGGCUCUAGUAUAUCUCUUCAACCUCACAGAGUCUAGGGAAAGUAAUAUUUUGGGAGCGGCAAAGAGUCAAGGUCUGGUUCUUUCAGGUUUCCCAUCUUGAAGGGUGUGCUGAAUGGUGCAAGAGUCACUUUCCUCUGAGAUCCAUGUAUCUGCUACUAGCUGAAGUGAGACCAUCAAAGUUCUCUGUGCUUGGAGGCUACGAGAGAAGAAGAAAGUGAUGAAAAAGAGAAUGAAAUGACUAAUGAAUACUAUGAAGAUGGAUCUUCAGAUGCAGACAUAGGUGAUGGUGAAGGCUAGUAUUCCCCGAGAGGCAAUUUAUUUCCGAAAAUAAUACAGAGAGGAAAAGCUCUUGAGGUAUCAUGACCCUUUUUUUACUCUCUUUCUUGAGUUGUUAUAUUGGUGUUGAUUGGACUACAUGGAUGUAUGGAAAUAACCAUCUGAAAUGCAAGGUUAUUUCCAUAAAUUAAGUGAAAUACUUGCAAAAUGGUAGAUCUCAUGUCAAAAUGGAGUUUUUACUUUAAGAUAUCUCUGUGGCAUAUAAUAUAUCAAUAAUAAAAAUUGGAAAUUCUUUUAGAUUCACUGUAUAAUCAUUGUCACUAGGAACUUAGGAAGGUAGUUUUACUUCUACUUAUAAUGUUUAUCUACAGGGUGCAUUUAUAUUAAAGUUCAUACAAUUUGAGUUCCUAUAUCAACCUAGAAAGCAANAAAAAAAAAAAAAAAAAAAAAAAAAAAAAAAAAAAAAAAAAAAAAAAAAGUCAAAUACAAUAUGAUUAGUCACGGACAUAUUGACAUGGUAAACUUUGAGAAAUGAUACAACAAAGGAAUGACACAUAUCAAUUUCGUAGCAUAGAGAAUCAUAAAUAUAUCAUACAUUGAAAUGUUGAAAUAGAAAUGUGGAACAUAUAAUAUAAAGAAAUGUGAUGAUAGCGAAAUAGUCAAGGCACGCACAAAGCCUAGAUGCCACUACUAGGAAAAAAGAAAAAAAAUGUUGAGACAGAAAAGAUAGGAUAAUCUCAUGCAUAAAAAUUAAUAGGAAGUAUCUUUUUUGGUAGUAAUAAAUUUUUUGAUCUAUUCAAACAAGACAAUUAUCUUCUCCAUCCACCAAAGCAAUCAUGUUCAGUUCCUGCAACAAUGCUUCCAAUGCAUCAAUCUCCCAAUGCCUCUUAAACAUUAGCUACCAAAUACUUUCACUGUUAAGCUUUCAACUGACUUGCCUCUAAAUCUUCGUGACAUUAAUUAAGAUAAAUAUUUUAUGAAAUUGGAUCUACUUUACUAAAGAGCAUUCUUCGAGACAUGUUUCAAGUGACAAUAAGUUGUUUUUUUGAUUGUGCCAAUAACUGUGUAGUUGGACUUGUUUUUUCUUUUUCCAGAUACAUUUUUAAUGUGUGAAUGAAAGUUGUGCGGUUUAGUUAAUUAUAUAGAAGUCCUUUAUAUAUGGUAAUCACUUAUCCUCUUGUAAAUUGAAGCGAUGUCGUUUCUAUUCUUGUUGUUCCUAUGGUAGCAAAGUAAUAAAUAAUGGUCCUUGAAGUGCCUGCAAAACUGAUUAUUGUCCCAACUGAAAGUUGAGUUCCCAUGGUAAAACUAUAAUGAGUCUUUAGAUAUUGUAUCAUUGCGUAUGUUUAAUUUUAGGUACAGAAAUAUCUGCAUCAAGUCUUUGAUUCCAUAUAGAAAAUAAAGCUUGCAGUGAUAACAUGGCCAACUCAAUUUACAUGCAGCUUUUAAUUUGAAGGAGGCUAAUUAGUUUUAAACUAUUUUUCUCUUGUAGGAAUGUCAAAGCUUCAGCCCAAAACUUGCAUAUAAUCCCUAUAAUGAGCCCAACAUUGAAGUUUUCAUGUUGUAAAAGUAUAUUUAUCCAUUUUGAUGAAACUAUUAUUUUUUGUCAGGUUAAUAUAUUUUUAAAUGUUGUCUUAUUCCAACACUUAGUUCAUCUCUAGGACUGCUUUGAAUUUGCAGUUCUGGAGUGCUUUGAAUUUGCAGUUGCGAAGUUUUAUUGACUUCCUUGAUCUGAAUUGCAUUGUUAAACAUUACAACACCAUUUUGAUUGCAGUCAAUAAUCUUCUUUAACUGGCCAUAUGUAGGGCCUUUAAUU